rnacentral:misc_RNA from 1 species
AAGUCGUAACAAGGUAACCGUAGGUGAACCUGCGGUUGGAUCAUUAACAAAAAGAUAGGGGUCAGACCGUAAAACGUCUGGCCUUUAUAAACACCUGUGCACUUGUAAUGUUUGAGGCAAGGUCAAAUUGGAGACCCAGUAGGGUCUUUGGAGGUUGUGGAGGUUAGCUAACACUUUCGUCCAUGCCUCUCCUUGCCUCUGCAUCAACAUACAACAUGUAUAUCUUGAGCUAGUUUAUUUAUUAUAUUAAUAUCUAACAACUUUUGACAACGGAUCUCUAGGCUCUC